rnacentral:lncRNA from 1 species
GAUGGGACCUCGCGAGCAUUGCUGAGGCGGCUCGCGCAUCGAUCCAGCUCCAGCUGGCACCGAGUGAUUCUCGGGGAGCCAUCGACCGCGACCGACCUCCGGUGCUCUCGACGGACCAACGGCAUUGUAGAACUUUGAUCCGGUUGCGUAGUGCCCUGAUCUGGAACCGACCGCUCUCGUUGGAGACUCCAGUACACGAGAUCGAGCCAGGAGACCAGGUCUACGUUCGUGAUUGGAGCGAGGAACCACUUAAGGAACGGUGGAAUGGACCGUACCUGGUGCUGCUAACUACCUUCACCGCUGUAAAAGUGGAAGGAAUUGACUCCUGGAUUCACUACACUAGAGUGAAGAAAGUCCCGAAACAUUGUCGAAUCAGAAGCCUUAGGACCUACGAAACUGAGGCUGAAAUGCAGAUAAGAUGUCGUGUUAUAUGUAUAGCACUUUAAUUGUGAUUUGGUCAGUCUUACCUAUAAUAAUUGUUGGUUCCUUAGAAGAAAAGGGAGGUGGUGACGUAUGUUGUUGGACAAAAUGCCACUCUGUCUUGCAGGUUUACCAUGCCAAUGGGAGGAGAACUAAUAAGGGUUAUCUGGGAAAAGGAAUCGGAAAAUUUUGAAGCACCUGAGAUAAUUUUUGACAGCAAGGACAAAGGAUUAGUAGGGCAUGAGCAGGAGUUGCAGGAAAAUUGGCAAUCUAGAAGUAAAGUAAUGAACAGGUUCUGUUCACGAAAUCUUACUGAAGGAGAGACUAAAUUAAGGAUAGCCAAUCUGACUGAACAAAUGCGGGGAAAAUAUCGUUGUCUGGUCAAGACAAACAAUAGUGCAGACUACGGUGAGAAGAUAAUAUACAUUACUAAAACUAGAGUCAGACGAGCUAUAAAACCGACCGAAUCACCCCAGAUAAUUCAAGUACCCCAACGUGAUCCGGAGGAAAACCUAAUGAUAGGAUUAAUCAAGGAUUUCGCAAAAAUGCAAAAUACGAGUAGAAUAACGGCAUGCCUCCCAAUACCAAAAGCAGCUGGAGAACCAAUUGAGUGGGGAAUAAUAACAAUACCAUUCCCAGAAGGAAACGAGACAGUUAAGUGUCAGGAAAAGGAGAUAAUAAAAAAUGAUACAAGCCCCGGCUGAUGGAAUAAACUGCAGAUAUUUGAUGAUACAUAGCAUGGGACAUCUUGUUUGGGCACUCAGUGAUGGUACCUGGACCACCCACCUUCCAAUAACAGGGCCAGUGCAGGAAAUUACCUUAGGACUCCCCACUUUGUGUCCAGUUUGGAAGCGUUCCCCGUUCAGGGGCAAACUAUAAACUUUGCAGAUUCGAACCAAAAGAAGUAUUGAUGAUGACAUUGACAAUAUAGAUGACACUUGGCAAGAGCCUGAGACUGGAGUGAAAGUAAGAUGGGCACUUGAAUCCCUUUUUGCUCAAAUAGCUGCAUAUCGCAAUAGGGAAAUGAUUUAUAAUUUAAUUGGACAAACUGAGAGAUUGGCCAAGGUGACUAAAAAGGCUUUAGGGAUCUAAAUUUGCAAUUACAGGCAACAACCAAAAUGACUCUGCACAACAGAAUGGCAUUAGACACAUUGCUGUUAAAGGAACAUGGUGUUUGUGGAUAUCUCAAAGAUAGAAUCGAUCACUGCUGUGUACAUAUACCAAACAUAACUGCAGAUAUAGAAUAUGACAUUGCUCAAUUAGGGAAAAUUGAAAAGGAAGCUGAAAAGGAAAAAGAAGA